AGUGAACGCUGGCGGUAGGCCUAACACAUGCAAGUCGAACGGCAGCACAGUAAGAGCUUGCUCUUACGGGUGUCGAGUGGCGGACGGGUGAGGAAUACAUCGGAAUCUACUUUUUCGUGGGGGAUAACGUAGGGAAACUUACGCUAAUACCGCAUACGACCUACGUGUGAAAGCAGGGGAUCUUCGGACCUUUCGCGAUUGAAUGAGCCGAUGUCGGAUUAGCUAGUUGGCGGGGUAAAGGCCCACCAAGGCGACGAUCCGUAGCUGGUCUGAUAGGAUGGUCAGCCACAUUGGAACUGAGACACGGACCAGACUCCUACGGGAGGCAGCAGUGGGGAAUAUUAGACAAUGGGGGCGAGCCUGAUACAGCCAUACCGCGUGGGUGAAGAAGGCCUUCGGGUUGUAAAGCCCUUUUGUUGGGAGAGAAAAGCAGCAGGUUAAUACCCCGCUGUUCUGACGGUACCCAAAGAAUAAGCACCGGCUAACUUCGUG
rnacentral:rRNA from 1 species